AUACGGAGGAUGCAAGCGUUAAUCGGAAUUACUGGGCGUAAAGAGUACGUAGGUGGUUUAUUAAGUCAGAUGUGAAAGCCCCGGGCUUAACCUGGGAACUGCAUUUGAUACUGGCAAACUAGAGUAUGGUAGAGGCGGGUAGAAUUCCUAGUGUAGCGGUGAAAUGCGUAGAUAUUAGGAGGAAUACCAGUGGCGAAGGCGGCCCGCUGGACCAAUACUGACACUGAGGUACGAAAGCGUGGGUAGCGAACAGGAUUAGAAACCCUAGUAGUCC
rnacentral:rRNA from 1 species